rnacentral:rRNA from 1 species
AAAUUGAAGAGUUUGAUCAUGGCUCAGAUUGAACGCUGGCGGCAGGCCUAACACAUGCAAGUCGAGCGGAAACGAGUUAUCUGAACCUUCGGGGAACGAUAACGGCGUCGAGCGGCGGACGGGUGAGUAAUGCCUAGGAAAUUGCCUUGAUGUGGGGGAUAACCAUUGGAAACGAUGGCUAAUACCGCAUAAUGC